UACGUAGGGAGCAAGCGUUGUCCGGAAUCAUUGGGCGUAAAGCGCGCGUAGGCGGCCCUGUAAGUUAGAGGUGAAAGCCCGGGGCUCAACUCCGGAAUUGCCUUUAAGACUGCAUCGCUAGAAUUGUGGAGAGGUAAGUGGAAUUCCGAGUGUAGAGGUGAAAUUCGUAGAUAUUCGGAAGAACACCAGUGGCGAAGGCGACUUACUGGACACAUAUUGACGCUGAGGUGCGAAAGCGUGGGGAGCAAACAGG
rnacentral:rRNA from 1 species